CGCCUAGUAUCAUUAAUCGCUAUGGAAUCUUUAACAGAAACAUGCAUGCUGAUGACAAUGUAGCCAUUUCUGGACCACAGUUUGAGUUGUGCAUUGAUAUGGUUUGGCUUUGUGUUCCCACCCCAUCUCAUCUUGAAUUAUAAUCUCAUAAUCCACAUGUGUAGUGAGAGGGACCAAAUGGGAGGUAAUUGAAUCAUGGGGGUGGUUCCCACCAUGCUGUUCUCGUGAGAGUGAGUGAGUUCUCGUGAGAUCCAAAGGAUUUAUAAGCAUCUGGCCUUUCCCUUGCUGGUACUCAGUCUCUCUUCUGCUGCCCUGUGAGGGGGUGUCUUCUGCCAUGAUUGUAAGUUUCUUGCGGUCUCUCCAGCCAUGUGGAACUAUAGAGUCUCGGUCUGUCACCCAGGCUGGAGUGAAAUGGCAUGAUCUCGGCUCACUGCAACCUCUGCCUCCCUGGUUCAAGGGAUUCUCCUGCCUCAGCCUCCCGAGUAGCUGGGUUUACAGUUUGCAUUCUACAAAAGUCGAAGCUCUAUUUGUAUGUAUUACAAUGUCUACAUUUUGAAGUUAAGAGAAGGAAGAAGAUGCAUGAGGAUUUUACUUGCAGACAGGAGUGGUAGAUGAAACUUAUAGGUGACAGCGAUGAGAGAAAAAAAUGAUGGUUGGAUAUUGUGAGAGAGCAAAGAAAUGGGAAGGAGAAAAAAGACAAAAGAUGCAAGGUAUGAAGUAGGGAAUCAUAGUAAAUUACAGAAAUGGCUAAAAGCAAAGUAAAUCAUCUGUGAGCUAUAAGCUUUUCCUAAGGAUCUAUUAUUAAAUUAUUUCCCUUGACUCUGAAAUGGAUUCUCCUGCUGGGUCAAUUUAUUAUGUAUUUUGUCUUGUCAAUUUUUAGUCUAGGCAUCUAGUAAUUCUAAUUACAAUAAUAUUAUGCCUCUCCACACCUCUCCAAUGAACAUUCGAAGAUGUAAAGGUAUUAUGUUUAUAGCCAAAUGCUGUUCAGUUAUUUCAGUAAUCUAAGUAAAAAUUUAAAGCAUAUAUAAAAUGUUUUACGGUAUACAAAAUUUAAAACAUAUAUAAAACAUUUUACAGUAUACAAAAAUGAAAACAUAUAUGAAACUCAGUAGGCACAACAAUAAAUGCCAAGUAUGUGAGUGAUUUAAGGAAUAA
rnacentral:lncRNA from 13 species